UUUCCAUUACUUCAUUUCACUUCGUUGUACAACAGCUCCGGAUCUGACUUCUGAGCAUAAACACCCAUCAAAAUAGUUAGCCGGUGAGCUCAAGCGAGUUGGUGAGUCACGAGUCAUUGCAAUCCAGUCACCGGCGACGAUGGAUCCGGCGAACUCAACUCUAGGGCGAAUGAUAUUGGAGGAGAUCACUCCAGUGGUCAUGGUCCUACGCACCCCUCUCGUUGAGGAAUCUUCUCAGAAGAAUCAACUCUCCUUCAUCCAAUUGCUUUCUCCUUUCUGCAAUUUCAACAAUAUCGACGUGCCAGUUCGAACUGCAAGUGAUCAGCCUUACAGGCUCAAGAAGUUUAAAUUGCGCUUGUUUUAUGCUUCAGAUAUUCGGCAGCCUAAUAUUGAGGUUGCAAAGGAGCGGUUAAACCAAGUUAUCACUGAUGCUGGAGAGAAAGAUCUUUCUGACUUAUGUUCAGAACCUCUGGAAAUUGAGACUGUGCUCAACUCUUCGCAAAACGAGUUCCUACCGUCAUGGUUCCAAUAUUUCAACAAUGAGCUAGUACAUACGGUCUCCUUUUCACAACAUGAAGCUUUUGACCAUCCUGUGACAUGUCUUUUGGCUGUUUCUUCACGGGAUGAAGAUCCCAUCAACAAAUUUGUUGACCUAUUUAACACUAAUCAGUUGCCUUCCCUUCUCAAUGCUGGUGCAAUGGAUCCAAAAAUUCUAAAGCAUUUUGUAUUGGUACACGAUGGUGAGGACGCCUCAUUAGAAAGAGCAACCAAAACCUUGGCAGAGAUGAGGAGCACAUUUGGGGCUAAUUGUUGUCAUUUGCUGUGUAUCAACUCCUCUAAGGGCGGGUCAGGAGAACAUGAAAAUCUGUGGGCUGCUUUUAAAACUGAUAUUUCACAUGGCCAGCAGUUGCGCUGUUUCCUUAGCUCAGAUGACUUGGAUGAGGUAUUUGUUCCUGAACCUUGUAUGGCUGACNCAAAUAAAGAACUUGUGGUGGAGAAAGGGGAAAGAAGAUACACCAGAAAACCCAGCUGGUCCAACGUAUACUUUCAGCUCUAUUGAAUCACAAAUAAGAGUUUUGGGUGAUUACGCCUUCAUGUUACAUGAUUAUGAGCUUGCAUUGUCUAACUAUCGUCUACUUUCUACCGACUACAAGCUCGACAAAGCAUGGAAACACUAUGCUGGUGUUCAGGAAAUGAUGGGACUGACCUACUUCAUGUUGGAUCAGUCGAGAAAGGAUGGUGAAUAUUGCAUGGAGAAUGCAUUUACCACAUAUUUAAAAAUCGGAUCAUCGGGUCAGAGAAAUGCUACACGUUGUGGUCUAUGGUGGGUAGAGAUGUUGAAGGGCAGAGAUCAGUAUAAGGAGGCUGCCAGUGUAUACUUCCGUAUCUCUGGUGAGGAACCCCUCCAUUCAGCAGUAAUGCUCGAGCAAGCAUCCUAUUGUUACUUGUUUUCCACUCCCCCCAUGUUGCGCAAGUACGGGUUUCAUCUUGUUCUUUCUGGGGACCUGUAUAAAAAAUGUGAUCAGACAAAACAUGCAAUUCGAACAUACAAAGGCGCUCUUUCUGUUUUUGAAGGAACUACAUGGAGGCACAUUAGAGACCAUGUUCAUUUCCACAUAGGGAAGUGGUAUGGUUUCUUGGGGAUCUGUGAUGUUGCUGUUAAAAAUAUGUUGGAGGUUCUAGCUUGUGGUCAUCAAUCUAAGACGACACAGGAGUUAUUCCUAAAGGAUUUCUUUCAGAUAAUUCAGCAAACAGGCAGAACAUAUGAGGUUCCAAAGCUUCAGUUACCGGUAAUCAACAUCCCUUCAGUCAAAGUGGUUUACGAGGAUCAUCGUACCUAUGCAUCCCAAGCAGCUAUUCAUGUAAAAGAAAGUCUGUGGCGAUCGUUAGAGGAAGACAUGAUUCCAACAUUGUCAAGUAAGAGUAAUUGGCUGGAACUGCAAUCUAAAAUUUUGCCAAAGAAGUUUAAAGAAUCAAAUAUUUGUGUAGCUGGAGAGGCGAUUGGGUUAGCCAUUGAAUUCAAAAAUCCACUCCAAAUACCUGUUUCAGUAUCUGGUGUUACCCUAAUUUGUGAACAUUCUCCAGCAGUAUCUGAACCUAAUGCGAAUAAUUCAAUUGGUGAUCAAAAUGGUGAGACAUCUAACAAGUCAGCCACUAGUGGGAAUUUUACUUCUGAUACAUCUUUAUUUACAUUAUCUGAGGCUGACGUUGCCUUAGGAGAUGGUGAAACAGUACUGUGUAGUAACAUAGGCGUAAUAAACAUCCACCGUCUAGCAACAAAGAUUAUUUAUGAAAGACUGGAGCUUGUAAAUUUGGGGCCUCAGCAAAAUUCAAGUAGAUGGAAGGAAGUGCUACAUCUUCACUUUUAUAUCCUUUCCUCCACUGUUGAAGCUCUCCAUUACCUUUUACAUGACAAAGCAUUAGCUGCACGCGGAGUACUUCCUUUUCAUUCUUACAUUAAACUACCAGUUCUAUUUGCGAUGCCUGUAGUUUCUUUGGUGGCCAUUGCUCCUUCUUUGUUGGGAGGAAAGAUCUGUACCUUCUUUUGCAAAAACCAUAGCAGAGGAGUUGUUGGAUUUUCUGGAGGCAUUAAAGGGAGGGAAAAGAUAGAAACGUGUAAGAGAGCGGGGAAAGAAGGGCACAAAUUUGAGAUAGAGUUGGGGAAGCCGGAGACUUAUGCUAUGUUUGCUCAACUGCUGGGAACUGAAGUCAAUGAGAAAAUGGGAGCGGUGGUUUCACUAAUAGCUAACUCUAGUGCCCGCGAUGAAGAAUUGGGGCUCACUGAUGCUAGAAGCACUAGCUUCUACUUGUUCAUCUAUGGGUCUAAAUCUGUGUCUGUAAAACACGAAAGUGAGGAGCCGCACCCUUGGGUGCAGUUCUGUGUUGCUGUUCCAGCAUCUUAUACGCAUUUCUUGCUUUCAGUACAGCUAACAGUUACUCCAAGAGCAGAAGGUACUCUAAGGAUAGUCGGUAUAAGAUGGAAGCUGUCAGGCUCCGUGGCAGGAUUUUGUACUUUUGAUUCCGACUUAGUCAGAAAGAAAGUUGUGAAAGGAAACAGGAAAUCUAAACGAUCUACAAUCGAUAACCUGAAGUUCUUAGUAAUAAAGAGUCUACCGAAGCUUGAGGGCGUCAUUCAUCACCUCCCCGAAACAGUUUUUGUUGGGGAUUUGCGGUGUAUUACUCUGGAGUUGAAAAAUCCAUCUAAAAUUCCAGUUAAAAAGUUAAAGAUGAAGGUCAGUCCACCAAGAUUUCUCCAAAUUGGACACAAGAAAGAUUUGGAAGUUCAGUUUCCUGCUUGCUUGGAAAGGAAAAGUUCAAGACAAAGUUCUUUGAGGUCAAAGACUGAUAAAGUAACAGAUGACAUUUUUCUGUUUCCUGAGGACACAGCAAUUGCGGAUGGAGCUCCAAUCUCAUGGCCUCUCUGGCUUAGGGCUGCAGCUCCCGGAAAGAUAUCCUUACAUUUAGCAGUAUACUACGAGAUGGGAGACAUAUCAAGUGUUAUGACAUAUCGUACCUUACGCUUGCACUUCAAUAUAGAGGUACUACCAUCUUUGGAUGUUUCUUUCCAAAUCAGUCCUCGUCCAUCUAGACUGCGGGAGUUCCUUGUCCGAAUGGAUAUUGUCAAUAGGUCUAGCUCAAAAGGCUUUCAGGUUCACCAAUUGUCAUCUGUUGGAAAUGAAUGGGAGAUAUCAUUGCUCGAACCAACCAAGGUCCUCCCUUCAGAUUCUCUACUUGCUGGUCAAGCAAUUUCAUGGUUUUUCAAGCUCAAGAAUUGUAGAUUGGUAACUGAUGAAGACUGUGUUUCUUCUCUUCGCCCUCUGGAGAAGGCAGACGUCAACUUGCUCCGCGGCAGUGAAAUGCUUUUUGAUCUAUACAGCUCUCCCUUGUCAGAAUUUCACCAUUAUGAAAGAGUACAUCAGAGAAUGUUGGAUCAGGAGCAUGAAGACACAGUAGACUUUAUAUUGGUAUCCAGAUCACAAAGUGAGGAGAAUAAAUGUGCAAAUAUUUUCUCACAUCACAGUUGUCACUGCAGUGUCAGGACCAGUAGCCGGAUAUGGUGGACAAUGGAUGGCCCCCGAACUGUGAAACAUGACUUUAAGGAACCUUUCUGUGCGAUAACACUAAGAAUGGUUGUCCAUAAUUCCUCUGAUGUUGUUGUGUCCAUUCGCUGUAAUCCCUCUGAUUCUGCAGUAUCAGGCAAUGCAUCUGCAGCUCCUGGAAAUGAAGUAGGCUGGCACGAUUUGUCACUGUCGAAUGACAUCAAAAUCACAUCCGAUGUCCUGGGAGCUCGAGUCGUGAAGCCAACGUCGUCUGACACAGUUCCACCGUUCAUUUGGUCAGCUUCAAGCUCUACUCAUUUUGCACUCGAGCCGUUAUCUUCUAGGGAAAUUCCUAUUGAAAUUUGCGUGUUCUCACCCGGCACAUUUGAUCUAUCAAACUAUUCGUUGCACUGGAGUUUUUCAUCCCCGAGUUAUCAAGGGGACAAUGGAGACAAAUUGAGAGCUUUGUCGGGAACAUGUCAGGGCCAUCCAUUCUACAUAACAGUGCUUUAACAAGAUUGAGAGCUCGGCUUAUAGUGUAUUUGAGAAGAGGCAAUCAGCCUGUAGUGAUUUUGUAAGUUGUAAAUUGUGACGUUCUUGUAUUUACACAGAAAUAGAGACGUCAGUAUGGAACAAAAUAAAACAAAAUUUUGACUGAUAGCAGUAGGAUACAAAUCUAAUUUGUUUCAGCCUCUUGGAACCAAAUACGGUACCAGCUUGUAAUCCACCCAUUUUGUGGUUUAAGAACUUGGAAGAUGAAAAUUUAGGUUCUUCUUCUUUGGAAGAUGGAAAAUUUAGUUUCUUGACACUUA